UACGUAGGGUGCGAGCGUUGUCCGGAAUUAUUGGGCGUAAAGGGCUCGUAGGCGGUUUGUCGCGUCGGGAGGGAAAACACGGGGCUUAACCCCGUGCCUGCUUCCGAUACGGGCAGACUAGAGGUAUGCAGGGGAGAACGGAAUUCCUGGUGUAGCGGUGAAAUGCGCAGAUAUCAGGAGGAACACCGGUGGCGAAGGCGGGUCUCUGGGCCGUAACUGACGCUGAGGAGCGAAAGCAUGGGGAGCGAACAGG
rnacentral:rRNA from 1 species